rnacentral:rRNA from 1 species
GAUGAACGCUGGCGGCGUGCCUAAUGCAUGCAAGUCGAGCGAACGGACGAGAAGCUUGCUUCUCUGAUGUUAGCGGCGGACGGGUGAGUAACACGUGGAUAACCUACCUAUAAGACUGGGAUAACUUCGGGAAACCGUGGCUAAUACCGGAUAAUAUUUUGAACCGCAUGGUUCAAAAGUGAAAGACGGUCUUGCUGUCACUUAUAGAUGGAUCCGCGCUGCAUUAGCUAGUUGGUAAGGUAACGGCUUACCAAGGCAACGAUGCAUAGCCGACCUGAGAGGGUGAUCGGCCACACUGGAACUGAGACACGGUCCAGACUCCUACGGGAGGCAGCAGUAGGGAAUCUUCCGCAAUGGGCGAAAGCCUGACGGAGCAACGCCGCGUGAGUGAUGAAGGUCUUCGGAUCGUAAAACUCUGUUAUUAGGGAAGAGCAUAUGUGUAAGUAACUGUUCACAUCUUGACGGUACCUAAUCAGAAAGCCACGGCUAACUACGUG